rnacentral:rRNA from 1 species
AGUGAACGCUGGCGGUAGGCCUAACACAUGCAAGUCGAACGGCAGCACAGUAAGAGCUUGCUCUUACGGGUGGCGAGUGGCGGACGGGUGAGGAAUACAUCGGAAUCUACUUUUUCGUGGGGGCUAACGUAGGGAAACUUACGCUAAUACCGCAUACGACCUACGGGUGAAAGCAGGGGAUCUUCGGACCUUGCGCGAUUGAAUGAGCCGAUGUCGGAUUAGCUAGUUGGCGGGGUAAAGGCCCACCAAGGCGACGAUCCGUAGCUGGUCUGAGAGGAUGAUCAGCCACACUGGAACUGAGACACGGUCCAGACUCCUACGGGAGGCAGCAGUGGGGAAUAUUGGACAAUGGGGGAAAGCCUGAUCCAGCCAUACCGCGUGGGUGAAGAAGGCCUUCGGGUUGUAAAGCCCUUUUGUUGGGAAAGAAAAGCAGCAGGUUAAUACCCCGCUGUUCUGACGGUACCCAAAGAAUAAGCACCGGCUAACUUCGUG